CUUUCUUUGCUGGCGACCGGUGCACGGGUGAGUAACACGUAUCCAACCUGCCUUUACUCGGGGAUAGCUUUCGAAAGAAAGAUUAAUACCCGAUAGCAUAAUGAUUCCGCAUGGUUUCAUUAUUAAAGGAUUCCGGUAAAGGAUGGGGAUGCGUUCCAUUAGGUUGUUGGUGAGGUAACGGCUCACCAAGCCUUCGAUGGAUAGGGGUUCUGAGAGGAAGGUCCCCCACAUUGGAACUGAGACACGGUCCAA
rnacentral:rRNA from 1 species